CCUCAUCCAAGAACCGUGGAAGAAACCACCGCAAAAGCGAGCAGCAAGCAAAAUAGAGUAGCUGCUAGCACAAAGAUGGUUCCGAAACAAAGCAUAGCUCUCACGUGUUACUCACGCAUCACAAUCUUCCUCUGCGUUCUAACCCUAUCAACUUCUCUCCACCGCUUCUCAGAGAAUCACGAAACCUUGAUUCAAAACGUGGCUAGAAAGCUCGAACUCAAAGACAACGAGCUUCUGAAAACAGAGAAGAAGUUCAAAGUUUUCAUGGAAGAUUACUCGAAACGGUAUUCAACGAGGGAAGAGUAUCUGCUACGGCUUGGAAUUUUCGCGAGAAACAUGGUGAAAGCAGCGGAGCACCAGGUACUCGAUCCCACCGCCAUUCACGGCAUCACACAGUUCUCCGAUCUAUCCGAAGAGGAGUUUGAGCGUUUUUACACUGGCGUUAAGGGCGGAGGAUUACUCGCGAGUAAUGCCGCCGGUGAGGUGGCGCCGCCGUUGGAUGUGGAAGGCUUGCCGGAGAAUUUUGAUUGGAGGGAGAAAGGGGCUGUUACUGGAGUUAAGAUGCAGGUACAUGAGUUUAAGCUAAUUAAUUUUCUUCGAUUACACAUGCAUAUUUGUAAGUUUAUAAAAUUUUGGCUAUUGUGAUUUAUCAGUGUUUAGUUGAGAAAAUAAUUGUAUAUUAUUUUUUAAUUUUAUAUUUUAAUGUUUUGUAUAGGAAAUUAUAGAAAGCUAUAAAAAAUUAAUAAAUAAAUUGGAAAGAAAAGGAUACUUAUAGUAAUAAUAGUAUAUUAAUUAGUAAUUAAAAUUAAAAACAGUUUUAUCAUCCUGAGAUGGAGAAAAUAGAAGGAUGAUAUCAUUAGGUUGAAAUUGACAUGUAUGUACCUAUCUAUAGAAGGAUGGAUAACAGAGCAACAGAUUUAACUAAAAAUUAAUUAAACUGUAAAUUAUAAUCUGUCGUUUCUGUUAUUGGAAAUACACAAGUCCACAUUGAAUAAAGAAUGUUUUGGUUUUUUUGUGCUUAAUUUUGAACAGGGUAAAUGUGGAUCUUGCUGGGCUUUCAGCACUACAGGAUCUGUAGAAGGAGCCAAUUUUCUUGCCACUGGCAAACUUCUCAGUCUUAGUGAACAACAGCUCGUGGACUGCGACAACAAGGUAAUAAAUAAUAUAUAUAACUAUCUAUAUGUUCUACAUAUGAUAGAAUAAAUAAAUAAAUAAAUAAAAAAUUGAAGACAAAAAUAAAAUAAAAUUUAAUGCUGAUAAAUAAGUUUUUAAUGUUUUUCUUUUUUGCUUUUCAUACCCCAUCAAAUCAACUAGUUCAAUCUGUACAGAAAUUUCUGCUAUUUCAAUUUGUGCUUUUUUUACCUGAAAUUUGUUCUUGUUGCACUAUUGCCUUUGUCAAGUGUGACAUAACAGAGAAGACAUCAUGUGACAAUGGUUGUUAUGGAGGUCUUAUGACAAAUGCCUAUAAUUAUUUGAUUGAGGCUGGUGGAUUGGAAGAGGAAACUUCAUACCCUUACACUGGGGAUCGAGGUGAAUGCAAGUUUGAUCCAGAGAAAGUAGCAGUUAGAAUCACAAAUUUCACCAAUAUACCUGUUGAUGAGAACCAAAUUGCUGCAUAUUUAGUUAAACACGGUCCACUUGCAAGUAAGUCCCCUAAUUCCCUUAAUUAAUUAAACAAUCACUAUGCCAAAUUUGAAAGAAAAAAAUGAAUUGAUGAUCAUGAACUUUGAUUAUGUGC
rnacentral:lncRNA from 1 species